GCUAGCAGUUACAUCUUUCUAUCUACAGCAGCUUCGGGGGCGGUGGUUCCUGAGGAUCUGCUGAUGAUCUCCCUGUGGGAUUUUCUUCUGAAGGGCAGCUCUUAGAUACCCUUGACCCUUGACCUGGCCUUCGUGACCUCUGCAAACCCAGGAUUCAUGCCUGGCAUAAAAAGAGACCCAAGCCCCAAGCACAGCUGGCUGGCUGGAUGCAGGAGUACACGUUUCCCACCUCUGGGUUCUUCACCACAGCUACUUUGUGUGACAUGACUGUCCUGCUCCUCUCUCUAGACUUGUGAGACAUCCCAAAGUGCCCUCCCCACCUCAGGAUCCUGAACUUUGUGAUGCUUGGCAGAAGGCUCGUCAGGGCAUCCUCUCCACAGCAAGGGGACUUCAAGUUGACCUGCCUGUGAGUGUAUACCGCCUGUGUUUGCAUGCAAGAGCCCAAGUAAGCCAGAAGAGGACACCAGAUCCCUGGGGCUGGCAGUGAUAUACUCUGAGCCUUCCCAUGGGUGGAAUACAUCUGUGAAGCACGAACCCCGUGGAUCUGCAUCAUCACACUUGGAAGUAGCAUCACGCGCUCACUCUCCACCAGGCCCUGCAGGAGCUUUCCCUUUUCCGCUACUCAAGGUCAAAGCCGUCAAAUACUGCUACCCACUCUGGUGGGCCAGAUGGCAUGAAUGCCAACAAUGAUCACAAAUAUUCAGCUGCUUCUUUCAUUUGGUGUUUUCAUUGUUUAUAUCUCAUGGCAUACAGAGAAACCCAGCCGUCUUUAUCAGUUGGUGUUGCAAUACCAGAAUGCCUGACACUGGGAGACUUAGGAACAUCAGAAGGUUAUUUGGAGACUCACAAACGCAAGAGCCUGGUGCCAGCAUCUUUCGCAGCAUGUGGUAAUGUGGAGAAAGCAAGGGACAAGGGUACAGUGGGAACCUGGCUUGACCUUUCUAAUCCAUCUCCACAAUAAGCCUGCACUUUUGGAAAGGCUCUGCUCAAUCCCCCUCGUCAUAACCUGUUACAGCAGAAACUCUGGGCAAGUUUGGGAGAGGCGGUUCAAAUCCCAGCGCUAUUCUGUCCGCUCAUCCUGGAUAGUAGGAUAGGGAGAAGCAGGUGUGGCAGCGGAACAGGCGUUCGCCAAGACCCAAGGACAAGGACGAGGAGGGGGAGCUCUGGGCUCAACCUUGACCCGGACUUACUGCCUACCAAAACAGACCUCAGAGUGGCAGCACGGCCCACUCCUCCCCACCCCUCUCCCGCUUCUUCACCCUCGCCACACCCAAGAGCCACCUGGACUUCAUUUCCUUAGCAAUUCCCUUCAAUUGCCUCAUCUCUUAAACACUUUAAAGUCCUAGGCAGUCACACCAGUGAGAUCACACUUUGGGUGUGUGUGGCAAAUCCUCUCAACAAUAACCUGUUCCCCUCCUUCCUGGGGACCAACCCUCAGUUUCCUUGCUGACCACAGCACUGGCUGGGAAAAAAAAAAAGACUUCCUGUCUGAUUUCUCUUAAAACAGGGAGUUUACAACUUAAUCCUGACAGACGGGAUGUGUGACUUAAAAGAGAGGAAUGUGUCUUUUGCCUUUGUUAUUCCUUUUCCUGCUUUCUGCAACGUGGGCUUGCUGACUGGAGCCGUAGCCUCCAGAUUGGACUAUGAGGCGGCCUGCAGAAUGGGAACGCUUGGGCGAAGGAGGAGGAGAGAAGAGGAGGAGACCUCAGUCUUGAGGUUCUUCUCCCAGCCUUGGAGUUUGAUGAGCACCCGUUGUGAUGGUUUAUGGUCAGCUUGACAGGAUCUACACUCUCUGCAAAGGUCUAUGAGGAAUUAUCCAGAAGACUCAACCUAACUGUGCAUGGCACCAUUCUCCAGGUCCCAGACUGCAUAAAAAGGAGAAAUCCAUGGAGCAGCAGCAGCGUUCAUCUCUCUCUGCUUCCUGACUGGA